rfam:Xenopus laevis strain J chromosome 7S, whole genome shotgun sequence.
CUGUUCCUUUUUCCUAUGCAUAUACCUCUUUGAAUAAUGAAUGUAAAGAGGCAUAGGGCAUGGGAAAAUGGGGCAG